CCUACGGGGGGCAGCAGUGGGGAAUAUUGGACAAUGGGCGAAAGCCUGAUCCAGCCAUGCCGCGUGUGUGAAGAAGGCCUUCGGGUUGUAAAGCACUUUCAGUGGGGAAGAAAGCCUUGGGGCUAAUACCCUCGAGGAAGGACAUCACCCACAGAAGAAGCACCGGCUAACUCCGUGCCAGCAGCCGCGGUAAUACGGAGGGUGCGAGCGUUAAUCGGAAUUACUGGGCGUAAAGCGCGCGUAGGCGGUCUGAUAAGCCGGUUGUGAAAGCCCCGGGCUCAACCUGGGAACGGCAUCCGGAACUGUCAGGCUAGAGUGCAGGAGAGGAAGGUAGAAUUCCCGGUGUAGCGGUGAAAUGCGUAGAGAUCGGGAGGAAUACCAGUGGCGAAGGCGGCCUUCUGGACUGACACUGACGCUGAGGUGCGAAAGCGUGGGUAGCAAACAGGAUUAGAUACCCGUGUAGUC
rnacentral:rRNA from 1 species